UCAUUUUGCAGGCAGAGGAGGAAGACUAAGAAGGCAGGUCAGAAGGUACAGUGGGAGGAAGCAGGCCGGUUUGCCUUGGCAGCUGAGGUGUCUCGCGGGGUCGGGGACGGGGGAGCGGCGAGGGGCGUGGGUGCCUCCAAGAUUGGUUGGGCAAUUUGCAGCGCCAGAACUUCAGGUUGAGGAAUCCGUUCAGGUUGUUGGACCUCAGUCAAACGGAGAAUGGGCGCCCCCUAGGAGCAGUAAUCGGGAAUGGACACGGAAGGACCCAGAUGAGGGGCGGGGGAGCAGGGGGUGUGGAACAAGAUGGGGUAGGCUGCCUGGCACAGUUUUCUUCUCCCAGGAGCUAACUCCUUCCGGCAGGACGGACACCCGAUCCCAAAACAGCCGGGCUGGAAAAGCCCUACAGAAAAGAACAACCAACACUUGCCCUGUGUCAGGCUCUGAAGGUGGGCAUUUUCGUGAACACUGUCGUAACAUUCUGCUUCGAGUCCUCGUUCGCCCACCUCUACGCUCAGCAACCCGCAGCCUUGGGGCAACCGGCCUGUAACUCCCGGCAUCCACCACUCCCGGCUCGGCACCUCCUCCGCCAUCUUGUUUGUAGUUCCCACUAACACCAGGAUCCCUUUGCUGCCACGGGAGCACCAGCGCCGCAGGACUACUACUUCCGUCGUGCCCUGAGAAUGUUAGUCCUAAAAAGUGGAGGUGGAUGGCCCCUCCUGUGCUGGACGUGGUGCACCGCCUGCAGGCUGAGCUCAACCCAACCCGCUCGCACUGCGCCUGCUGUAGUGCUUGGAGGACACGGCGGGCCAGGU